UUGCGCCCAUAUCAUGUUGAAAUACCGGAUCCCGAAGUUAAGAACGAAGUUAAGCCAUGUUCAGCCUAAUCAGUACUUAGAUAGGUGACCAAUUGGGAAUACCAGGUGCUGUAG